CGUUGCGAAUUACGGACGCCAUCUUGUUUUCUUUUAACCAAUUGAACGACGUAGAUGUAAGUGUUUCAACGAUUCUUAUUGGUCAUCGUAAGAAAUGCUGUUUUUACAUGCAAUUUCAUACAGUAGCGAAAUUAAUAUUUGUUUACGUCUACUACGGCAGGCUAUAAGUAUAUACAUACAUACAUACAUACAUACAUACAUACAUACGUAUUAUGUGUACUACGUACCUCAUAGUGAUUACUAAAUUUGAUUUACUUUUUUUCUUUUUCUAAAAAAAGCGCAUGCCGUAGUUAAAAUAAGCUACAUUCCUUAAAUUGAUAUAAUGACAUCACAAAAGAUUGAACAAAAUAAAGAUGGCGUCUUUCGAACCCUCUCCCUUUCAUUUUUGUUUGUAAUUUGCUAAAAAGCAAGAGCCAUGUCACAAAAGUGAUGAAAAUCAUUUUUCCUGUGUAUGCUUUUUUAUUCAAUUGGCAAAAGGCAAAAAGAAAAGCGUAACAAAAUGGCGACGAUGAAGACGCAACGUGACGAUGACGAAGAAGAAGAAGAAGACGACGACGACGACGACGACGAUGACGAAAAGGAUUUUUUCGAUCGCUUGGCCGCCAUGCAAGUGAAAUAACAUAAUCAACAAAGAGAAAUUAAAUCUUUGCGCACAUAUUCGCAGGACAUAAAAAGAGAGCAAAUACAUAGACAUUUAUAAAUAUGUAGAUAUUUAUAUAUAUAUGGGUAAAAAUUUUUAAAAGAAACGCUUCGAUUCCUUUCAUUUUUUCAGUGAAAUGAGAUUAUCAUAAAAUCGUAAUUUUCAGUCAGUAUGUUAAAAUUUGUAAACUUGCUAUUUUUAUCAUCAUCAUCGGGUUGACAACCACUGACUUGGAAGUUUCUCAUCAAUUUCCUUAUUUUUAAUAGAUCAUCUUUUAUGAGGUCACCCUAUGGGAACUCUUAAUUUUAUUAUUUUUACUAUCAAGUAGAUCACUGACUCGAAAAAAAUAUUCUUAUAGAAUUUUAUUUAUUUUUUGUUUCAAAUCUCGUACAUUCGAAGCGUCUCCCACCCUCCUUUUUUUUUUUAUUCAGGCCAUCUAAAAGAAGAGACACGAUCGUUUGGACUGGACUCACGCGACGAGCUCGCCGAAGAGCCUGAUUUUCCUGUGACAGGUGUCGAGAAGGGAGAGUCGUGACGAUGAGCUUGCUGGAGUAGUAGUAGUAGUAGUAGUAGUUGUACUACUACCUCCACCUCCGCCACCAUGAUGAACAGGAGUUGCAGGUGCUGACAUCGUCGAUGAGGACGACGAUACACCUGAAGUUACGUUGUUUCCCUCCUGAUGGAGUACAACUCGAGCAGGUUAUGAUGUAUCUCCAAUUGCCUGGACUCGUGCCAAAACAGUCUGCAAUAUUACCACGGCACACUGACAUUCGAAAGUACAAAAUAGAGACGGCUGAGAGAAAGAUUUGAUCAAGUUUUUGAUGUUAACGAAUUGAAAAAAAUAAGAACGAGAGAGAGAAUAGAAGAAGGUUAAUGAAAAUGUUCUACGGUAAUUGACAAGUGAACAAAAUGAUUUAUCAAACAACUAAUUUAUAUAUAUAUAUAUAUAUAUAUAUAUAUAUAUAUAUAUACAUAUACAUAAAAGAAGUAGAAUAUUUUAUUCACUCGUCAAAGUCACAGAAAGUAAAUAAACAAACAAACACGUAAAAAAAAAGAUCGGUACCGAGCACCGACAAAUAUAAUGUUCUCGCCGUCUCUGAGACAACGAGAGACUGACGUCCUCGUGGAGGCUUCGUGUGCGACUGCCGAGAAAGAGAGAGAGAGAGAGAGAGAGAGAGAGAGAGAGAGAGAGAUUCGACGCGUACCAGUUCUGGUCCUACACCGCAUCGUGACGCCGCGAUUCUGCAGCGAAUGCUGGAGUAUUCCCGGAAGAUCCAGAAAAAUAUCAUUUUAUUAUUUAAUGCAUGUGUAUGCGUGUGCGCAUAUAUAAAUAUAAAAUAAUUUUCAUACGAAUUUUUAUUAAACGAUUUGUUAUGAUGUAUUAUAUAUAUAAUAUGAUAUUAAAGGAUAUAUAAGAAAUGAAGAAAAGGGCGGAUGAAAGGGAAGAGGGGAUAGAGAUGAGGCAAGAGAGCGGCAAUGCGACGGUGGUUGCGCCGCCAAUGGAUCAGCUGUGAACCGGCAACUAAGUCAGCUGACUGUUCGACCCCUCCCCAACUUCCUACCUGUUUCACAGCCUCAUACACACUGAGAGAUAGUCUCUCUGCGACAAUCAAUAUUCCGCUCUUAUUUUGCGGCGCUCCUUUAAACACUCAUUUUUUUAUACUUAUUACAAUAAUACGUGUUUCUGGAUAUAUACACAUGCACGCGCACAUAUAUGUAUGAUCAUCAGGAAUGAAAGAAUGUUUGAUUGUAUGGCAAUGCAAAUAAUCUUAAAUUUCAUCUAUAAUUUAAUUAAUAAUCAUAUAAGAUUGUUAACUAGAAACAGAAAAAUGCUUAACAAUUUUGAAAGAAUAAUGAGAAGAUUUAAAUACGGCGCCUUUUUUUAAAGAGGGCGUGGUAUGUCACGUGGUUAUCCACACUACUUUCUCAUCGAUUAUUCGCUCGAUAUCCAACAAUUUCUUUUUUCUUUCUUCACAAAAUACCGAACACAAAAUUCUUUUAAUUCUAUUAUUGAGAAUAAUUUGUUUAGUUGUUAGGCGUGAAAGAGAUACAUAACUUAAACUAUUAUUAAUCCUUCUAUUAAACAAUAUGUUUUCCUAGUAAAAGGAUGAAAGAAGAGGAUAAAAUGACAGAGAAGAGAAGCAAAAAGAAAGACAAAAAACAAAUAUCAAGUUGAACGGAAAGUGAAGAUCCUUUGGCGCCAGGAUUCAAUCGAACUUGUUUUCCUUUCAAGCAGUUAAGGGAUUACGAGAGGGAGAAGAGCAGAGAAAAUAAAAGACGAUCGAUGUUAAGAAUGGCGCCUUCCUGGCGCCUCUCUUCAUCACGCUCGAGACAUUAUUUCGUCCUACACGUUUGUUUACCAACGUCAUUCUACUACCAUAGUUUUAUCUCCAUCGUCGAUGCAUUCUAACGUUAAAAGACUAUUCUUAUUGCCGUCAUCAUAUUUCCUCUCAAACGAUUGUUAUUUUCCCAUCGAUCUCGCCAGAAACAUAAUCUUUUGUUUAGUCUAUAUGGAUAUAUAUAUAUAUAUAUAUAUAUCCAUAUAUAUCCAUAUAUAUAUAUAUAUUUAUGUAGAAUAUAGUUACUUUCUUUUCCUCAUCCCAACUCUCUAUUUUCUCUUUCACAACUCUCUUCCUUUUCCUUUUUUCUUCUUACGAUAUAUUUAUUAACAAUCGUGUUCGUGUUCCUCAAGGGUUUCAUCUUUUUUUCAUAGAGGUUACUUAGAAAGGUAUCCUAGCUUGAAGAGACUGAUAUAUAAAGUUACUUGUAGAAUAGCGCGUUUGGAAAAUAAACAAUAAAUAAAAAAUGGGAUAUUGUUUCUCAUUAUAACCUUAAUUACGAGAUAAAAGUAUAUGUAAUGUAUUUGUUAUGAUGAAGGAAAAUGUGAUUUAAAUGUUGAUAUUACGAAAAAUAAAAAAAAAAAGGAAUAUAUAUAGAAAGUAACAUUAUAGAUUUGGCUAAAAUUAAAGGAAAACCAUUUAAUUAAGCCGAGUGUAACAGCUUACGAGAGUAACAACGACUA